AAAGAGAGAUUGGUCACACAUAGGGAAAAAAGUGUCCUAGUGUUUGGGUGUAUUCAGCGUCACCUGCCGGUUGGUGAUGGAAUGUUUUUGCGCAUACAUCGUCCCUUAGGCUACAACAAAGGCUUCUUUUAAAAAGGCCAAGAAAUAUUCUCUUCUUGGCCCUCAAUCGAUUUUCAUGCGUCUGUAUUGCGUUUGUUUUGUUAGCAGUGUCAACUGUACGUCAAGCAUUGUGUGAGACGAUUUUCUGUCGAAAAGUUUUCAACUUUGACUUACAAACCGUCCCACUGAGUAAUUUUGUGCCUAGUAUUUCUAUUGGAAGCACUAUUACGAAGCUCUUGUGUGGCAGUUCUACAGUAAGAAAGAACCCCUGAACAAUAUUUUGAGCAGCAAUUUUUAAUGACUCGACGGCUCUUAACUUUUCUUUCAACUUCUUUUUGGAAAUUUUGCUGCGAUGCAAUUGUUUUUUGAGCAUUAGGAUAUCAUAUUUAAGUUUUUCUUUUUCAGUAAUCCGACGAGUUCUUACUCUUAACUUAAUGUCGGUCUUGGAAUGUUUUUUACCUUUGCUACCUUCGUUUUCUAGUUUUCUCUUUGUUCUAGUUGUGGCAGGGAGAUUUUCAGAAUCUGAACUGUACAUUGACACAUCUACAAAUCUCAUGUCAUCAUCUGUUGACGAGAAACUAUCUUUAUCAUGUACUUGAUCAUCUGAAGCUGAAAAUAAAAUAUCUUUCUAUAACUGUU